AAAAUAAGAUAGGGAGUGUUAGCAAAUGAGGGUUUGAAGGACAGAAUAACAAAGACAUUGGAGGGAGAUUGCCAAGUUGACAAACAUGUAUGAAAAAGAGGUGCUUGGAAACCACAGUCGAGGAGGGAAUGAAGAAUCAGCAAAGGGACAGAGAUUCCUAGUGGCAGGGGUGAAGUUAUAAAUGCAGGUAACGUCUACCCCACCUGGAACUAGUAAGAUUUUUUUGGAGUGGAAGAAGCUACAAUGUCAGAAGACAAAAAAUCUCACCAGAUUUAUAACAUUCCCAUGCUUUGAGGAACUGGGGAAUGUCUAAUUAGGAAAACAGAAAUACCUUCAAGAUUUUCCACUGAGGAAAUUAAAUGCAGAGAAUUGACUACUCAGGUGAUGGAGGUGCAGACAGC
rnacentral:lncRNA from 1 species